GAGCACCAUGAUCAAGUUCCACAUGUGCAAACAGUCAAACCCCCCAAGUUAUGAACAGAAAAAGAUUGCUCAGAGUACAUGUGGAUCAGGUUGUGCCUAUUCAUGGCCACCUAUGCCAGGACACUCAUACGGAACUUUUUAGCUUCCUCAUAAGUCAUUUUCUAGCGGAGUAACGUUGCUGCAUAGGUCGGCAUACUCUUUCACCAGUACAGCAACUCAUGCUCACUUCACAGUAAUUUCACUGUUGUGACAUAGAGUAUUAGUGAGCGAUGACAGGUGUCAGUGGGUGCGAGUCUGAACGGUAGUGUGCGUUGGCGAGUUUGAGUGGACAUGAAUGUGGACAGGAAUGAGUGCCUUGAUGUCUGUAUGAACAAGUGUCAGCAACGGUGACUGAGCGAGUAUGAACAUGAGUGACUGUUGGCGAGUGUGAGUGGAUGUAGUAGAAGAAUAGCAUUGUGGUGAGUUGGUCUAAGUUGGCCAGUUGGUCAAACUGGUGAGUGCUUCGUGCAGCAAAAAUGAUGCCCUGGACGUGAGUACGUAUGUGUCAGUGCCAGUGAUUGGUGGUAGGUGUGAGUGGCUGCCAGUAAGUGUGAGCGGAAGUGAGCAUGAAUGCAAGUGUGUUAGCAAGUCUGAGGGGGUGUGAGUAAGAAUGCGAGUGCACGUGAGUGAGCGAGUAUAUAGCCUGCAAAAAUAUGGAUGAGUCGGUGCGAAGGAGUGUCAGCUUAUUUUGACGACCUAUGCAUUCUUGAGACCACAGUCUCUGCGGCUUACCACAAAAAGCUCCGACAUCUUUUAAUCAGGCACUUUUCUUUUUAUAACGCAGUGCAAUUCAGUUUUUCUAGAUUUGCACUUACCAGAAUUUUUUCUUUGUUUGCUGGUAUGAUUCUCAGUAUUAUUCCCUUGUUUUGACUGCUUUGUGUUGGUUUGUUGACUUAUGACAAGUAAAUAUUCUUUUUCUUUGGGAGUCGAGAGGGGGGUGAAUGUUGGCUGUAAUAUGCUAUGCAUUAAAUAGUACUUUCUUGUGGACUAGCAGGUUCAUACUUGAAUUAUUAACGUGCUGCGCAGGAUGUUCAAGGAAAAGGAAAGAGCAUAGGACAGUGCAAAGCCCAGCUACGACAGCCAACAUGAAACGUGGUGAUCUGUGACAACAGAAAAAGGUCAGCCGAACAGGCGGGGGAGGAAAUGUGUCAUGCCCCUGUACUUUAUAUUGGAACUGGACAAGAACAUUUCCGUGAUGCCCCAACUUUAGUGAGAUGUACAGUGGCUAAUCAAGGAUAGGCCGGGCCAAGCAUGACAAGAUAGCUUGGGCUAAGUGUGUGGGCAUUGACAUCAGCCUUUUGUUGUGCCAGCCACUGGCCAAUGUUUUACCUCGCAUGGCCCGACAUAAAUUCUUGUAUGGAUCCGAUACAUUAGCACACCCAGGAUUAUUGUCUGGGCGUGGGGCAAAAUUUGGCAAGACAUAAUAACAUAUACGUAAGAAAUAACAUUUCAAUUUACAGAUAGUUAUGGGGGAGGGCUGUGAACCCAGGGCGAUUUUGGGAAGACUGACAAACUUUUUUUAAAAACACCUCCAUAGCAGAUAGCACAAUUUUGCAUCUCGCUGAGGUAGAUAGUGCAAUUUGAUUACUCGCAAAGGUAGACAUUAUUUUCAUGAAUAACUGAAAUGCAUAAUCGAAAAGGACAAGUUUAUUCAUUUAAAUACCUUAUGGGCACCAAAAGGAAUUGCAUAAUGGAGGGAUACACAGGAAUGCAGUUUACUAACACGAAAAAAAUAAAAGUAAUGGCACUAACGAUGAUGCACCAUGUUAGGAAAAAAGAAGGAAGUAGCAUACUACAUAUGCAAGAGGCUAGCAGAAGGUACAAAAGAAUAUUUCAUCUUUAUAAGUAGUGAAAGAAAAAUUACUUCUAGGAAAAAAUUAUUAUAAAAGAAAAGAAAGAACGCAUCCAUGCUUUACAGAUAGCUCUAACAGCCCACAAUUCCCUAUCCCUCUCCUAAAAACGUGUUAAAAAAUAUUUUACAAAAGGACAUAGGGCAUCGAAAGCAACAGUACUGUCUUGGAAACAAGGAAACAAAUUACAAAUGCAGGUAAUGGCACGCUGGGGGAACUCAAUUAAAUGAUGUAAAAAACAUGAAUUAUUAAAGGACGUUGCAAAUUUGCA